GGUAAGAUAGCUGAAUGUUUAAGCGUUGGGCUGUAGACCUUUUUAUAGAGGUUUAAUUCCUCUUCUUAUCA
rnacentral:tRNA from 1 species